UCGAGCGGACAGAUGGGAGCUUGCUCCCUGAUGUUAGCGGCGGACGGGUGAGUAACACGUGGGUAACCUGCCUGUAAGACUGGGAUAACUCCGGGAAACCGGGGCUAAUACCGGAUGCUUGUUUGAACCGCAUGGUUCAGACAUAAAAGGUGGCUUCGGCUACCACUUACAGAUGGACCCGCGGCGCAUUAGCUAGUUGGUGAGGUAACGGCUCACCAAGGCAACGAUGCGUAGCCGACCUGAGAGGGUGAUCGGCCACACUGGGACUGAGACACGGCCCAGACUCCUACGGGAGGCAGCAGUAGGGAAUCUUCCGCAAUGGACGAAAGUCUGACGGAGCAACGCCGCGUGAGUGAUGAAGGUUUUCGGAUCGUAAAGCUCUGUUGUUAGGGAAGAACAAGUGCCGUUCAAAUAGGGCGGCACCUUGACGGUACCUAACCAGAAAGCCACGGCUAACUACGUGCCAGCAGCCGCGGUAAUACGUAGGUGGCAAGCGUUGUCCGGAAUUAUUGGGCGUAAAGGGCUCGCAGGCGGUUUCUUAAGUCUGAUGUGAAAGCCCCCGGCUCAACCGGGGAGGGUCAUUGGAAACUGGGGAACUUGAGUGCAGAAG
rnacentral:rRNA from 1 species